rnacentral:rRNA from 1 species
GAUGAACGCUAGCGGCAGGCUUAACACAUGCAAGUCGAGGGGUAGAGGAAGCUUGCUUCCUUGAGACCGGCGCACGGGUGCGUAACGCGUAUGCAAUCUACCUUGUACAGGGGGAUAGCCCAGAGAAAUUUGGAUUAAUACCCCAUAGCGUAAUGAAUAGGCAUCUAUUUAUUACUAAAGUUCCAACGGUACAAGAUGAGCAUGCGUCCCAUUAGCUAGUUGGUGUGGUAACGGCACACCAAGGCAACGAUGGGUAGGGGUCCUGAGAGGGAGAUCCCCCACACUGGUACUGAGACACGGACCAGACUCCUACGGGAGGCAGCAGUGAGGAAUAUUGGUCAAUGGGCGCAAGCCUGAACCAGCCAUGCCGCGUGCAGGAUGACGGUCCUAUGGAUUGUAAACUGCUUUUGUACAGGAAGAAACACUCCCUCGUGAGGGAGCUUGACGGUACUGUAAGAAUAAGGAUCGGCUAACUCCGUGCCAGCCGCCGCGGUAA